rnacentral:rRNA from 1 species
GAUGAACGCUGGCGGCGUGCCUAAUACAUGCAAGUCGAGCGAACAGACGAGGAGCUUGCUCCUCUGACGUUAGCGGCGGACGGGGGAGUAACACGUGGAUAACCUACCUAUAAGACUGGGAUAACUUCGGGAAACCGGAGCUAAUACCGGAUAAUAUAUUGAACCGCAUGGUUCAAUAGUGAAAGAAGGUUUUGCUGUCACUUAUAGAUGGAUCCGCGCCGCAUUAGCUAGUUGGUAAGGUAACGGCAUACCAAGGCAACGAUGCGUAGCCGACCUGAGAGGGUGAGCGGCCACGCUGGAACUGAGACGCGGUCCAGACUCCGACGGGAGGCAGCAGUAGGGAAUCUUCCGCAAUGGGCGAAAGCCUGACGGAGCAACGCCGCGUGAGUGAUGAAGGGCUUCGGAUCGUAAAACUCUGUUAUUAGGGAAGAACAAAUGUGUAAGUAACUAUGCACGUCUGGACGGUACCUAAGCAGAAAGCCACGGCUAACUACGU